rnacentral:rRNA from 1 species
GACGAACGCUGGCGGCGUGCUUAACACAUGCAAGUCGAGCGGAAAGGGCCGUCGGGGUACUCGAGCGGCGCACGGGCGAGUAACAGGGGAGUAACCGGGCCCAGACCUUGGGAUAACCCGCGGAAACGGGGGCUAAUACCGGAUACGACACAGCGACGCGUGGGGGCAGUGUGGAAAGGUGGUCGGUUUGGGAUGGGCUCGCGGCCUAUCAGCUUGUUGGUGGGGUGAUGGCGUACCAAGGCGACGACGGGUAGCCGGCCUGAGAGGGCGACCGGCCACACUGGGACUGAGACACGGCCCAGACUCCUACGGGAGGCAGCAGUGGGGAAUAUUGCACAAUGGGCGGAAGCCUGAUGCAGCAACGCCGCGUGAGGGAUGACGGCCUUCGGGUUGUAAACCUCUUUCAGCAGGGACGAAGCGUAAGUGACGGUACCUGCAGAAAAAGCGCCGGCUAACUACGUG